CAAUUGAUAAAUUUAAUUGGGACCAAGGAAGAUAUUAAAACAAGUUGAUGUUUAUGUGGUAUAAACAAUUAACAAGUAUGGGAGUGCUCAAAUUGCAUAAAUAAAGGAUUAAGAUUUAGAUAAACAAAUAAUGUAAAUUAGGUAAUUUUAUCAAUUGGCCAAUCAAAUUUGAGGAAAGUGGUUUUUUGAUGCUUUUAAUUAGGAUUUUCCAAGCAGGAACAUCAUUAUACUGUAGUUCCAUGUUCCAACCAAGCUUGCUAGAAGACUUUCUUAGACUACAAGAUCAUUUGAAAACUAUAUCUUUAAUUAAGCACAUUUUCAACCAUUACCAGAAUGCCAACAAAGAAUGCUGAAAAAAUGAGAAAGUGGCGAGAAAAACAAAAGAAUGCGGGAAAGUAUGAUGAAAUAAAGAAAAAAAAUAAUGAACGAAGGAAAAAGAAAAGAGCCAGCCUGUCCCAUACGGAGUUGAAGGCACUCAGGAGGAAAGAACGGCAGCGGAAGAAGAAUUCUAGAGCCAGGAGGAAACUUCAAUCUGAAAUCGACUCCAACAAAAUGCCGGAUCCGACAAUGGAUGAAGCAGUUGCGCUAGUAUUACGCGAACUGCCGAAGAGUCCACGUAUGAGGGCGGAAGUAAUUAAACUAUUGGUAGAACUUUAUGUCUACGAUGAAGAUGAACAAUGAUGGACGCUAUACUGUAUACAGUAGUCGAAAGUAGAAAAAUAUCUCCGCUAACGAAAACGUGAUAUUCCGAUUUAUAUUUAAAACAACAAUGUUUUUAUUGUUAAAUCCAUUGUGUCUAGAAACUUCAGUACUGCAAGGUAUUUUAAUAAAUGUUUGUUUUGAAUAAA